rnacentral:antisense_RNA from 1 species
GGAAUAUGAAGGGAGAAUGAAACAAAACUGCUCCGCUCAGGGAACUUGGAAAGGAAAUUGAAAAGGCAAGGCACAGGCUGGAAGAAAAUAUUUGAAAAAGAUUUAUGUGAACUUCUUUCUGGAUUAUACAAAAUAUUUUUAGAUAUUCUUACAACUCUAAAAUAAGAUAACUCCUUAAAAAUGUGAAUUCUACCAAAGGAGAGAUGAAGAUGACGAAUAUAUUCAAAGAUGCUGAAAAUCACUUAUUUAUUAUUAGGAAGUUACAAGCUAAAGCAUAAUGAGAUACCACUACAACCUACUAAACUGACUAAAAUUAAUCAGACUAACCAGGUGUUGGCAAGAAACAGGGACACUGAGACUCUCACACUGCUGGAAGGAAUGUAAAAUGCUAAAACUUCUUUGGAAAUGAGUUCAGUAACUUUUUAAACAGUUGAAAAUAGACCUAUCAUGCAAACCAGCAAUCCCACUUCUAGGUAUUUAUACAAGGAAAAUGACAACAUAUGCCCACAUAAAGACUUGUGCACAAAUGACGGUAGCAGCUUUGUGAUAAUUGCUAAAAACUAGAAACUUGUCAAGUGUCCAACAGGAUCGAAUACCAUAAGAGGAAUUCUGGACUGAAGAGUUAUGAAGUCAUUUCAGACACUUCCAGACAAUUUGUGUUAAUUAAAUUCUCACUGGUUGAGUUCCAUUCUACACUGGAAGAGCAUUUUUCCUGGAAAGGCUCCUCAAAAUGGUAAUACAGGGUAAUUCUUUUA